rnacentral:lncRNA from 1 species
GUCGAGGGGUUAAUGCUCUGGAAGACGGAUGAAAAGGCACUGCCCGAGAAGCGGGGUGAAGACAGCGGGAAGCUCAUGCUCACAGGCCGCUCUGUAACUGAAAGAAGCCACAUGGAAGGGAGAAUCCACAUAUUGGAAAAUGGUGCCCGAACCUCUGUUUCCUCCCUCCAUGGAGUGAAUAACUCCCUCCAGGGAAAGCGGUUUCAGGCAUGAACCAUGGACCACAGAGAAGCCACUGGAGCCUGGGGAGAAGCCACCAGGCCACUUGGAAGAAGGCAAGUGGUCCCCAGGUUACCUCUCAUCAGGCCCGGGACAGCCCUGCCCCGCUUCUUCAGCUCCCCGAAGCAGCCGUCGCAGACCUUGGCCAUCCUGUCCUUCAGGUACUUCAGCGGGUACUUGUUCCGCGAACAGUUCC